GGCUGGUGUCGGGGUCUCCUGGGAUGGAGGUCAGAAUGGCGUUCAGCAGAGUGUGGCUUCUGAGGCCAAUCAAAGCCACUGAGGCUAAACUCUGCUGCCCGGACCGUGGGCCACUUGGAGGACCUUUCUGACCCAGCCCUUUG
ensembl:miRNA